rnacentral:lncRNA from 1 species
AUGGACUUACAAGGGAGGACACCAGUUGUGUCAAAGGAGAGUGGGAAAUGUAUUCACGUCCUAGCAGUAGGUGUCGCAGCUCGCUGAAUCGAGUCUUAGGCAAUUACCUCUUUGCAAUAGAACGAACUGACAUGCCACAAGAUCGGAAACGCACGGAAGGUCUAAAAAAUGGGGAAGCUCUGCCCUAGAGUUGUCAUGAAAUGUGGAUCUAAGUGUUAGGAUUUACAAAUGGGAACAUCUACCUAAUGUUAGCAUACAAAGAAUAAG